UUUGGCAUUGAAGUUUGCUUGUGUUUAAGCUCGCGUUGGAACAGCCUAGAACCCCUCUCUGUAAUCUGACUUUAUAGUUUUGUUAUUAUUUAAAGCCUCCCUUUCAGCGAUUUUUUAAAACCAAAAUAUAUGCUGGCUAAUGUCAUCUGGAAACUGAAAGUCGAUGUUCAGCAACUCUCACUCGCCAAUCCUACAACGUGGUGCUGUUUGUUUCAUUUGAGUCCAGUCUCUAAGAAUAAGUAAUGAACUCAUCUUGGGGAUCAGCCAGAGCCUACAACUCUGAGACGACCCGUAAAGCCCUUUCCCUUUCCUUCUGGUUCUGGAAGGGAUUCUGUAGUUCAAAGGGACAGAAGAGUUCCUUUCGGGUCACCCCUUGGACUGCCUCUUCCCAGCCCCCUGUGGUGGAGGAGGACGCAUAGGUCAUUGAAUUCCGUCUGUUUGUCUACACCCGCUCUUUCACCGCAGGCAAGUCAAGGGAUUGAUCCCCCUCCAUCCUGUAACCCCUCUUUUUAUCCUGCAAAUCACCUUUCACAUCUGAUGCUCCAGAAGCUCGGUGAGGU
rnacentral:lncRNA from 1 species